rnacentral:rRNA from 1 species
UUGCAUGUGCCGGAGCUUGUAGACGGUGAUGACCGCACCAGAUGGCGGCUAGAGCCAUCUGGUCGAUUCUCUAUGAAAUCCCUCUACCAGGAGAUUGCCCGCUCUCCGGGCCCGGAGGCUCUCUCCAUCAUCUAGGAGAUCCGGCUCCCCUUGAAGAUUAGGAUUUUCCUAUGGCAAUGGAUCUGUGGCCGCCUCCCUUCUGGAGUUGAAGUCCAAAAGCGUAGCGGCCCUGGCGAUGGUCUUUGCCCGCUUUGCGGACCCGAAGAAGAUACGAACCAUAUCUUUUUCACCUACAUAUCCGCGCAGUUCCUCUGGAGUUGUUUCCGCGAACUCGUUGGCGGAAGCUGGGUUCACAACAACUUCCCCGGCCUCUUCGCCGAACUCCAGGCACUGCCACCCCUGUCUCGCCACAUUAGGUGGCUGACUAUCGGGGUGCUUGGCUGGACGUUGUGGACUGUUAGGAAUAAGCUUGUGAUUCAGCGUAUACUGCUUCGUCGCGCUAUUGAUGCUUUGUUCAAAUGGUCUGGUUACCUGCAGAUUUGGCGGCCGCUUAGCCGCUACAGGGAGAGAGACGCCAUCACCUCCAUCAUCUCCCAGCUCCGUGCGAUGGCUCUCCGGAUGGCUCCACAGCUUCCCCCUCCACCACCAGAGCCGGAUUAG